CCUACGGGAGGCAGCAGUGAGGAAUAUUGGACAAUGGGCGCAAGCCUGAUCCAGCCAUGCCGCGUGCAGGAUGACGGUCCUAUGGAUUGUAAACUGCUUUUGCACAGGAAGAAACAACAUUACGUGUAAUGUCUUGACGGUACUGUGAGAAUAAGGAUCGGCUAACUCCGUGCCAGCAGCCGCGGUAAUACGGAGGAUCCAAGCGUUAUCCGGAAUCAUUGGGUUUAAAGGGUCCGUAGGCGGUUUAGUAAGUCAGUGGUGAAAGCCCAUCGCUCAACGGUGGAACGGCCAUUGAUACUGCUAGACUUGAAUUAUUAGGAAGUAACUAGAAUAUGUAGUGUAGCGGUGAAAUGCUUAGAGAUUACAUGGAAUACCAAUUGCGAAGGCAGGUUACUACUAAUUGAUUGACGCUGAUGGACGAAAGCGUGGGUAGCGAACAGGAUUAGAUACCCUGGUAGUCCACGCCGUAAACGAUGGAUACUAGCUGUUGGGAGCGAUCUCAGUGGCUAAGCGAAAGUGAUAAGUAUCCCACCUGGGGAGUACGUUCGCAAGAAUGAAACUCAAAGGAAUUGACGGCUGAGACGAGCGAGGACGACGACGAGGGAGGUAGG
rnacentral:rRNA from 1 species